GUUGCUCGAAACUUUGCACGCCUCUCCGUGGUGAGCAACAGGCAACACAGUAAAAGGUACUGUGGCUGGAUUGUAAAG
rnacentral:ribozyme from 1 species